UACGUAGGGUGCGAGCGUUGUCCGGAAUUAUUGGGCGUAAAGAGCUUGUAGGCGGUUUGUCGCGUCUGCUGUGAAAAUCCGGGGCUCAACCCCGGACUUGCAGUGGGUACGGGCAGACUAGAGUGUGGUAGGGAGACUGGAAGUUCCUGGUGUAGCGGUGAAAUGCGCAGAUAUCAGGAGGAACACCGAUGGCGAAGGCA
rnacentral:rRNA from 1 species